UGGCAUCAGGAAACAUAAACACCUACAAGAUAAAAGCAAAACCUAAUCCUAGAAAAACAAGCCUGACUAUUUACUCACCCAGAUCUAACUCUGGACUAGACCCAUGCAACUCACACCAGAGCCUACCAGCAGCUACUGCUGGUCAUGCUGCUAUGAGAACUGCCUUCACAGAGAGCCUAAAAAUCAGGCAGGAAAUCAGAUACAAAGAAGAACAUGGGGUAACAAGACAGUGACACUUUCCUGUAAGAAGACCAUAAAUCUUUAUACAAGGGGGCGGACUGGAGAACGUCAGGGGUUUCCAUGUGUGAGUGUUUAAAAUAAAACCUUAUUCAUGCUGGAGUGGGGAAGAAAAGAACUGGCAAGCUGGGAACACAAAAAGAGAAAAGGAGGAACCUUAAAAUAUGAGGAUUGACUGGGUCUUGAGCUCUGAAGUCACUUACAGCCAUUCAUGCAAUUAUGGUGGCUUGGAGGAAACAGAUGAUUUGACAUGGAGUAGAUUUGCAGCCAAGACCCCAUUGCAAGCAGGACCUGAGUUCUUUGGAAGAGUCAUGAGCUGGGGGUGAUUGCCCUGUGAAGAGAGUAAAGAGUUCCCCAGCAAUCUGCAUUCAACCUUUGAAGUACUUUGGAAGCUGUGUAUAGAAGAUACCAGGGCAAUUUUGUGAACUGGAAAUGUAAAUUAGCAGAGCCGAACCUUCCUUAUUAAUGCUUCAAAAGACAUCAAAUCCCCUAACAAAGGACAGUCAGUACAGAGCAGGGCUCUCUCAUUGAUCGACUUGUCAUUUUUCUAUCUCAGCAUCACACAGGAGUGGGGAAUACAGGUGCUUUCGGGAGAAAUCCCCCAGCUCACAAAUCUGCCUUCUGUCCAGAAAGUAGGUCUCAUUGGUGCAUAAUAAACGUGACAGCCUGGUAACUAUUGAGGUGAGAGAGCACAGAUCCAUUCUGGUUCAGCACACUUGUGCAGCUACCAAAGACGGCACCAGGUUUCUAUGUGAGAUUACAACCCCAUAAUUCCAACAGAAUCACAUCAAACCCUCUCAAGGGGACAAAAAGUUUGCACAACUACAAGUUCAGUUGGACCAAGCUCAAUGGAGGGACUGGGUGACAUGAUCCCCCAAAGCUGGCUGGCAGUUCCCUGGCUCUGAAGCAAAUGAGAUGAUGCUGCAGACUGCUUUCCUAGCUACUUAAAGAUAAAAAGUACUUUAGAAUAGAGAAUAAUCCUCCAAAUCCUUAACUGAGUUACGAUUCUAGAGAAAGGAACAGAUCGUAUUUAUGAGAUGAAGAAUUACCUUGUCGUGUUCACAUCUUUUAAACCUCUGGUAUGAAAUAUUCACUCUUCUGAAGCCAAUCAAUGUUUCAGUGCCAAAGGAAGUGGGUGCAGGCUUUCAGGCACAGAAUAUCAAUGGCAAGUUAUGUGGUUGUACAAGUGAGAGCCAAAGAUCCUUUACUUUCUCUUGAGUUCAAAAGAGAAUAUGCAUCUAAUAUUGGAUGUUAGUAAUAGCGAGCAUCUUGUACAAGGUGAAUUUCACCUUAGCUGAAGAAGGGAAGAAGCAGGAUUAUAACUUUCAAAAUCUUCAGGAAGUGAAACGUGUUCAGUAUAUGCUGCUCUAAGGUUGUUAUUACUAUUUCCUACAUUCAGGAAACCAUCAAGUUUACAAUAGGAGCAAAUUCUCGGAUUGUCAGUUUAAAUUUUAAGUUUGAGGUUGCUAUUCAAUUUCAGGGUACCACUAUCUCAAGCCAGAGAUCUAAGCAUCAGAGAGCAAAAUCAAAUGGAGUAAGAGUAGAUUUAGCAGAACACUACAUUAUGGACUAAGGAGUCAAACAUAUGCAAACCUUUCGUCCUUACUAAGAAACUGCCUCACACCAUCCACCUGGGGGAUUGUCUUCAAGACCUAUCCUCUCCGCUGCCAGGGUGGGAGAAGCUGUGCCAAUGGUGCAAGAAGGACCAAACACUGGACCACAGGCUGGAUGAAUUCCUUUUGUCUUGAACAUGGUACCAAGCAGACAUGCUGCCAGCUAGCAGUGUUGGAAGUCUUUGUUAGAGAAAGAGAGGGCACUCUAUUGUACAUGUUUAGGAACAGCGGUGUUACACAUUAAGAAUCAAAACAAAAUUUGCUUACACUAUUGUGAAAAAGGGUCUGUCUACAGUGGUCUCCAAUUUUAGAUUUGAUUUUCAGUCCACAUUCCUGACUUCAGUCCUCAUCAGUCAGUUUUGCCCCAGACUCUUGCAUUAUGAAGACUAAUUUACAUAUCCAAAUAAAUAGCUCUCAAAGGAGAAAUUCAGGCUGACAUAAUGUAACUCAUCCUCAUCCUUUUAGAGCUAUUUUUGCAUAAAAAAAAGAUUAGCAAACAAAACCAAGGAGGUAAAGAAAGAAAUGUCAUGGAACCUCUGGGAUUUUUGAGAGACUACUCAACUAUCCUGUACAAUCAUGAAGAUGGGGUUGUGGGGAGGGAGAUUUCCCAGUUGACACGUUUCUCCACUUGUGAACAUGUUGAAAGAUCACUCAUAUGUUUUCAAUGAAGUCACUGACAGUCAAGAAUGCUGGAGGCAACAGCUGUUGGGGAUUGAUUUACCCCAAGGCUAUUUAAUCUCUCAGCCUCUCAUAAGGAUGCUUGCUAGGGGGAAGGUAAAGAAGCACAACUAAAAAUUGUAUUGCUUUCAGCAGCUGUUGUUAUUCCUGAAAGCCAAGAAAGGGUCAAAAAUAUGUGAUGAAAGUCUUGGAUUGUUAUCAGCUAUAGGGGUGGCCAAAGCUUACUGCUUCCUUUGGGAGUAAAGUUUCCUUUGUGGAAUGAAAUACAGUAAAAUUACUAACUCCCUUAGGCUUAGUUGCCUGGGAGUUACCAUGAAGUGUAUAUGUGCCUUGGAAUUUCCAGAAUUAUAAGUAUAUUAUGUCAGUCGGAAUGAUACAGGUUGUGAAAGGCAGCCGUUGUGUUCAGUAACAGGAGCUGAGACAAUCGGGUAGCAAGAAAAGAUAACAUAAAACAUUCAUUAAAAUGGUGGAAAAAAAAAGGACUGAAAAGCAGAGUGCAGCUGCUGUUAUGUGUCAGUUACUAUUUCAGAAUGGUCUCCUUCUGUGAAACACUGGACUUUUAUGAAAUCAUAUUGUCCAACCAUGCAUUAGACCCCUGAAGUGUAAGGUAUUUGCCUACCUCGCUGAAAAUAAGAUACAUGCAUCUCCCAGCAGAGAUUCUUUUUGUAACCAUGCAUUUUUCACUCUUGGCUAGCAGAACUUUUCAGAGAGAAUUAGCAUGGAUUGCAUUUUCACUUGGGAAGGAAGCAAAAGUUGCAGUUCUGUUUCACCUAGGAUUUCAUGGCUGUGAAUAUGGGUGAUGCCUUGUGGCUUUAAGAGUGCAUAAUCAGCCACUGAACUUAUGUCUUUUCCCUAAAGCAAUCCAAGAUUUUUGUGACCAUGCCCCAUUCUGAACAUUAGCAGUGUACAGCCUUACAUCUCUCUCAUCCCUCCCAAAUCCAUGGAGUGGCUCACUCAGGAUGUGUCUACACCAGGGCUUUCCUUGGCUCAAUAAUACACUUCUGAAGCAAAUCUCUCAUUAUCCCCACUUACCGUGUUUUGUAUCCCAUCAUGGAUCUGUUUAGGAAAGCCAGAUUUGUUCCAGAUCAAAAUGAAAGUGGAAAGUGUUCUCCAGGACCAUACCUCAUGUAUUGCAUCACAAAGGGCUCCAUGAAAAACUCCAGGCAAUGAGAGAAUGGGCCUGAAAGUCACAGCUAUCCUGGAAAUGGCUAUGUUCAGAGGAGGAUGAGUAUUCUUCAGGGCAGUGCUGUCUCCUUACACUAGCUGAGUUCUCAAGAGCAACACACAAGUCUGCAAUGACCAAAAAAAAAUAAAAAUAAAAAAAUUGAACACAGCAAACUUUGCUGAAUGUGGACCUAAAAACUCUUUAAAUAUUCUUUAGAUGCUGAAAAAAAAAAAUGGCAAAGCUAAAGAAAAGAUAAUGCUGAAAAAUAAGUAGCGUGUUUGUUCAUAAAAAGUAUCUUUACACAAUUAACGGAAUCACAGUAUCAAAGAAUUGUAAAGGCUGGAAAAGGGACCUCUGGUGACGAUCAAGUCCAGGUCUCAUCACAGCACCUUGGGAUUAUUGCUUAGUCCUGAGGAUGCCCAGAACUUGGUGCAUAGCUAAAGUUCAUCCAACAAAUUAAAAACCUUUGGCUCUGAGAAAAAUGGAAAAGAGAAAUUUUGGGCAAGUGCUUUGGGACUACAAGGAAAGAAUAAUCAAAUUACUGAAAAUCCCUGUCCCACAAGUACUUACAAAAACAGAAUAGUAAUUUUUCUUGUGACUUUUCAGCACUUCUCCCUCUGGGAUAAAGUGAAGAUGGGAAAGAGGAAAAAUGUAGAAAUUAAGACAAAUUAAUUAUGAACUGUGUCUGACAGAAUUCAAUAACUGUUUUUCUGCUGACUAUACCAAAGUUUGGAUUGGGCAGUUUUGGUCUUCAGAACAUUCGAUAUCUACACAGUAGUCUGACUAGACAGAUUCCCAAUUCCUGUUUUUAUACACCUGCCAAGCUGACAGGCAUUCUAUGAUGGAAUAUGCAAGUCUUGUAACACAAUGCACUUACCCAACAAAAAGUGUCAUGAAAAGAUUAUUUGAUUUUCUAACAGCAGUCUUAAACCACAAAAUAAACCAAACCAAAACAAAGCUCAAAGCUUAUGAAUUAUUCCUUAAAAAUCAAAACAUAUUAAAAAAACACAACCACCUUCCUCCCACCAAGAGACAAGGUAACGGUGGAAAAGCAGAAUAAUGAAAGCAUUUGAUACUUACACGUCUUUCACCCUAUGGCACUCUAACACUGUAUGCUUGUACUCACCAAGCUGAAGUGUAACCACACCUGGGCCAUGGAUAGUCCUUCUCCUCAGAGGAACACCUGUACAAUUAUCUGUGUUCUUCUUGGUAGUAGCAUCAGAUACAAAAGGGGCCUUGCAAGGACCUGACUGAAGUUCCCACUAAUCUCACCAGGUGUACACCCCAGCUUUUUCAUAGGGACAAUCCCCAAUCACUGAAGGAAAAGGGAUUUGUUCAACUCAAGCUUCAAUGCUUAUAGAAGCAUUCAACAAAAAUCCAUCCAUGCAGGUCUUUAAGAUCUUCUUUCUCCUGUAAAUUUGAUUCUCUUUCAAUAUUUUGACUUCCAGGCAUCUUGAGAGGCCCUAGUGCAGGCUCCCUUCCCAUCUUGUAAAAAAAAGGGAAGAGAUUAUGCUAUUUUCAGCCACCAGAUAAAUAAACUUCUACAGUUUACUUGAAGUGUAUUAUUUUUUUAAACCCAAAAUUGUCAUUUCUGCUUAUUUAGGAAAGUGUUCUUAGUUCUUCUGCAGAUCUCCUAGGCUAUGACACUGUGUAUUCAAAGACAAACCUUGCUACAGGAAACCUUUUAAAUCAACAGAUAAUAAAGUGCCAGUGCAGGCACUGAAGCUAUGGAGAUGCUGUCAUAGAAUCAGUCGUAGAAUCGUUUGACUUGGAAGAGACCCUUAAAGGCCAUCUAGUCCACCUCCCCUGCAAUGAACAGGGACACCUACAGCUAGAGGAGGUGCUCAGAGCCCCAUCCAGCCUGACCUUGAAUGUCUCCAGGGAUGGGACAUCUACCACAUCUCUGGGCAACCUGUUCCAGUGCUUCAACAUCCUUACUGUAACAUAUUUCUUCCUUAUAUCCAAAUCCAAAUCUCCCCUCUUUUAGUCUGAAACCAUUUCCCCUUGUCCUAUCACAACAGACCUUCUUAUAGAGUUUGUCCCCUUCUUUCUUAUAACCUCUCCUGAGGUCAUAAAACCUCUGAACCUUUCUUCAUAAAAAGUGGUUCAUAAAACCACUGAAACCUUUCUUCAUCUCACCUAGCCAAGCUCCAAGACACUUCUCCUUUUUUUUUUUUAAAUGUUAGAGUUUCGUUUUGAGUAAAUCAGAUUCUGUUACUGUCUUACUACACAGAUGCAUGGACACCAAUACAGGCAGUAGAGAGGAAGUCAGUGGAAGCAUUUUUAAAAAAGAAAAUAUAUAUUAAAAAAAAAAAACAAAAAAACGUUGACUUACAUUGAUUUAAAGUGAUUUAAAGAUUUAAAGGCUCAGUGUAAAGCUCACAUAGAAUAGCAAAGUCCCAAUGACAGCAAGUAGCAGUGUGUAGGCUUAGCAAAUGACCCAUCAUAUCGUGAAAUAUUUCAGUUUGUUUUCUCUGAGUUCAUAGAGCUUUGUCAAGAUAUAGCUACAGCAGAUGCCAUUAUAAAUAUCUGAGUUCAAGAUGUUACAAAGCAGAUAAAGAACAUACUUCUCAGACCUUUUUCUUUUCAUAGACAUAUAUUUUUUUUAAACCAUCGUUCUUCAGUAGGACUGUCAUAAUUAGUUCUAAAGCCUGUGGAAAAAUAUAACUCAAUUUCACACAAAGAGUCAGGAUCAAGGCGUAAUCUGUGAGAUCUCUGGUCAUUUUAAAGCUUUCUCAUAAUACAGCCUCUUUCACACUGUUGAUGGAAGUCUUGGGACAAGAAGACAGUUGCUUCUGUCUUGUUCUUGGGUGUGAAAAUCAGUAGGAGAAUGUGAAAGGCUUAGAACAUACCAUCCCAGAGAACUGAGUCUCAGCUUGCAAAGGAGACUCCAGUUAGGCAAUGACAAAUUCCUUCCUCUCAUUAGAGACACGUUCCUCAGCAUCAGGGGCCUUCCCUGGAAUGUGGCUUUCAGCUCCAAGGUCAUUCUAAUGAUGGAAAAAGAACCCAAGAGAUCAUGACGGUCUAAAGCAAAAGCUUGUGAAGCAGCUUUCGCAGACUCUCCAAGCCACGUGUGAAGGAAUGAGCAGCAGCAUGCCUGGGGACACUGAGACGCUGCAAGCUGUGUUCCUGCAGAGCAUGGAGAGGUCAUCUCCCGAGGCAAGGCAUGGAGAGGGUGAUAAGAAACCACCCACAUCACCUGCUGCUUCAAAAUCAGUGUCUGUGCAGAAGGAUGUUCUUCACAAAGAAAUAACAAAUUUUUGUGUCCCUUUCCAUAAAUGUUUUUUUUUCCAGAGUGCCUGUGAAUGAAGAUAUGGUCCCUGCUCAGAAAAUCUGACCCAAAUACUCUUCUCCUAAAUGGCACAACUACUGUGAAAGCCAAUUACUGCACCGUGGGUUCUUCAGAUCCGUAGCUUCUCAAAAUUAAUAUAAGUGCUGGAAAAGAUACCGGAAAAAAGAUCAGUUAUGGAUAAUCUGAGUCUUGAUGUGCUUCCCUGGGAUUUACAGUUAACCUCUGAUCCAAUUAAAGGCUGUGGAGGGACUAUACACAAAAGUAGUGCUGUAGUUCCUUUCCCUUGUAUUUUACAUCCCCAAUGAAUAUUCUGUAUCUACAGGCACCACAAAUGACAAUUCAGAGAGUCAGUUAGAAGUCUCAGCAAAAUUCCUGGUGUCUUGGCACAGGACCUCCUAAUGGGGGUCAUUCAGAGGGAAACCUGCUGAGGGUGACUGGGAAGAAGGAGUCAUUGCCUCUGAGGGAGCCUUCUGUCCACAUCUCAGGACUUGUGACACUGCUUCAGAAAGAAAGCUUAAGUUGUUAGAGCAGAGAAAAUCUUCAUUACGGUACCCCACCCUCAGGCAUGUGAAAGACAAGCAGCUCAGCACCUUCCAGAGUCAGGCCCAUAAAGAUGAGAGGCUCUGGAACUUGAGGGACAGGUAAGUGAGGAUGUGGUGGAAGGUCCACCCAGGAGGUUAUCUAGGGCAAGGAGGCUGACUCCACAUCCCAAGACUGCAUCUGACAAGAAGACAAUCACUGUGGGCAACUCCCUUCUGAGAGGAACGGACAGCCCCAUAUACUGGCCAGACCUUACUCAUAGGGAAGUGUACUGCCUCCCUGGGUGAGGGUCAGGGAUGUUACUAGAAGGCUCCCUAGUAUGGUUCACCCUCUGUUUAUUAUCCCUUAUUGGUACUUCAGGCUGGCAGUGAUGAAGUCACUGAGAGAAGCUUGAGAGCUAUCAAAAGGAACUUCAGGUGGCUGGGGCAGUUUGUGGACAGAGAGGAAGUACAGUUGGUUUUUCUCUGUCCCUUCAGUGGCAGGGAGGAACACUGAGAGGACCAGGAAAUCCCAUCUGAUAAAUACAUGGCUGAGAGGCUGGUGCUGCUGUAGGAAUUUUGGCUUUUUUGAUCAUAGGGCCGUUUACUCAGCACCUGGCUACAAAUGAGGUCCACCUAGGUCAAUGGGGGAAAGGAAUUCUGGCCCAGGAGCUGUUUGGGCUUGUUGACAGGGCUUUAAACUAGGUUUGAAGGGGGAAGGGAGUGAUACCGAGCCUGCCCAUGACAAGGUGUGGGAUAGCAUAUCUAAGUUAAAGGGACAAGAUGCUAGUAGGGGCCCUCAAUCUGUUGCAUUUUAUAAUGAAUAUACUAGGCAUCGAGCUGUCAGGGCUCAUCACCAUGGCUUUAAAAUAGAUUUGAUGGUGGAAGAGGAUGUAGUGCCAAGGAACAAAGAGUCAGGGAACAUUGUCACUUUAAGAAGCAGAGGAGAAAACCUCAGAUUUGUCCCAGGGGUUUUUGGGAGGGCUCCUCCAAGAAGAUAAUGUGGCCAAAAGCCCAACUGAAGUGCCUCUAUGCCAAUGCACGCAGAAUGGGAAAUAAGCAGGAGGAAUUGGAAACUGUGACGUAAUUGGAAAACUAUGAUCUUACUGCUAUCACAGAAACAUGGUGGGAUGACUCACAUCUGAAACACUGAAACACCAUGAUUGAGGGUUAUAGGCUUUUUAGAAGGGAUAGGCAAGAUAGGAGAGGUGGGGAAGUUGCUCUGUAUAUUAAGAAGUAGAUAGACUGCAAAAAGCUGCCGCUGGGAAACAGUUAUGAAGAGGCUGAGAGCUUGUGAGUUAAAAAAAUUAGGGACUGGACCAAUAAAGGGCAUCUGGUGAUGGGGUCUACUCCAAGCUACCUGAUAAAGUGAGGCUGUUGACAAGGCCUUCUUACUUCAGCUGCAAGAGACAUUGCGCUCACAGGCUUUCAUCCUAAUGAAGGAUUUCAACCGCUCAGAUAUCUGCUGGGAAAACAACAGGGCAGCCUGCAAGCAGUCCUGGAAACUCCUGAAGUCCACUGAUGACAAUUUUCUGGUUCACAUAUUGGACAGACACAGCAGAGGUGAAGCACUUCUGGACCUGGUGCUCACCAACGCAGAAGAGAUCAUAAAAGAAGUUACAAUCAGAGGCAGCCUGAGCUGCAGCAACUAUGCCCUGGUUGAGUUUGUGAUCUCAAGGAAUGUGGAAGCAGUGAUGGGUGGCCUGGGAAAAUAUAGGGAUGCUGUCUGGAUGUGCAAGGAUGGAGUCUGGAAAACUGAGGCGCAAAUGGAAUUGGAUUUGGUCAGGGAUGUGAAAAACAACAAGGGAUGCAAACAAGACAAAAUAGAGGGGUCAGCGUUCUGCACAGUGACUCACUCCAGUGCUAUUACAGAAAAGGAUGUUUUAAUGUGCUGCUUCCCAUCCAAACUUCAUGAAAUGGGAAGCCUCCCAGAACUCUUCCAGAAGCCCAGCUGGAACUCCCCACUAUGAAAAACACUUCAACGUGAAUUAGAAAGUUUGCAAGAAAACCAUUACAAAACAGUACCAUCCUUGGCUAUACUAUGCGGUACUUCCCACAUAUUAGGAUCUCCAAAGAAUGUCAUUUUUGCCUUGAAAAAGUAUCCCAAGCUAUUCCCAUCUGCAAGGACAAUCUCUUUACUCCACUCUCAGAAUUUCUGAUGUCCCAGCUAUACCAGAGAUUACACCACGGACAUUGUGACAAGUUAAAAACCUGAAGUACUACGUCAUCUGAUGGUACAUGAGUGCUUCCUCCUGUGCCUGACUUUACUUUGGACCUGGGAACAAGAGCUAAGACAAAGCAUGGAUUUUCUGUCUGAGUGUUUGCAGACGCUUCUAUUACAUGAUCACAUUAUAGCGCUGUUGAAAACUGCUGUCAGCCCGUUAAAUAACACCGGACAGGUACUUAGGAUCUUCCAUUACCACAAUAAUGACAUAUCUCCCAAGUUUUGAAACAUCGGCUCAAGUUGCUCCCAGCUGUUCCACCGCAGCUCGUUUUCCUGCCAAUCACCACAUGGUGGUGGUGUAUCACCAUGAGUUCAGUGUUCGGGUCUGACUCCUGAGAGCUGAAUAGUUGGUUUAAGAAAGCUGGAUAUUUACAGCACAGCACAUUUACAAGGAUGCUUGUAGAGUGAACCCUCUAAAUCCAGUUUACCUUUGAAUUUAUAUGCAUUGCUUAACUGCUUUGCAUAGAGAACUGUCUGGCUUUCCAGUCAGGAAUCUCCCAGAGUAUUUCAAGCAACAUAUUUAUAACUCCAGGUGCAUCCACAUGCAGAAGGAUUUGAAGUCACAUGUGAUUUAUUUGUCCAUCUGCUUCAUCUCAACCUAUUUUGUUUCAUUUUGUUCUUGUUCUUGUUUUGUUUUGCUUUAAUAAUCCUUUGAUACUUAAUCAUCCAUUUCCUAUGGAAAAAAAAAAAAAAAAGUGCUCCCAAGAAUUCCAAUAGAGUCCAGGAAGGCUGAAUGCCUACUCUUCUGAAUUUGCUCCUAAAAGUCUUCUUCUGCAAAGCGUUUCAGCCACCCUUCACCAAAGUCAGGCAAUAAAAAGAAGGUGUACUGCAUUGCCAUUGUGUUUUUCAGCCCAUUCACAUUAUAGACCUUAAAUUAGCUAUUAUAUGUCCUUAGCUGAAUGUGGACAGUGACAGCCCAAUCGAAGACAGAGUGAAGUCAAUGGGAACCUUUCAGUUCUCCCUCAUUUGGCCCUGAAUCAAGUUCAAAGUUGUCUGAUUCAAGAAACAGAUCUUCUGUGUUUUUACAAAGAUGAUUUUUCUCCAGUAUGGAUAUAGGUUACAAAAAAAUUCCAUUAGGGCUUUGUGCACAAAAGAAGCUAUAUGUAACAAUGACAGCAUGUCUCAAACCAACAGAGAGAUUAGCUCUACUUUAAUUGGUUUGAAACAAGGGCACAUCAUCAACAGGGACGGGAGAACUGGCUUGGACUUAAUGAGAAAUGCAUCAUUUCCCACUCACAAACUUACUGCAGACUUACCCUGAACUUUCUAAAUCAAAACUGUUUUAAUAAACUUUUUUGUUGCAUUGC
ensembl:lncRNA